rnacentral:snoRNA from 1 species
CUUUACUUAAUUUUCCACCUGAUUGGAGUUGGUAGUCUGUUCUAGACAUCCUUUUCCAUUAUCGAGAUGACUCUACGAGGCAUUUGUCUGAUAACAUA